GGGAAGCCCAAAAGAGGACAAUAUCUACUAGUGGUGGGCUUGGGCCGUUAUAAUGGUAUCAGAGUCAGACACUGGGCGACGUGCAGCGAGGAGACUGAGCUCCGAAGGGAGUAAAUUGUGAGAUCCCACGUUGGUUGGGGAGGAGGAUGAACACCCUUUAUUAGGAUGUGGAAACCUCUCCUCAGCAGACGCAUUUUAAAAACUCGGAGGGAAAUCCCAAAGAAGACAAUAUCUACUAGUGGUGGGCUUGGACCGUUACAUUUAUCCUUCCGACUCUUUUUACCUUUUCCCAUCAAGAUAAAGGACGGUGGGGUUACGGGUUAAUAUAAUAUCAAAUUGGCCAGGACCUCAGAAAUCAUUAAGAUGGCAUUAUUAACAAGCACAUGACUUUUAUCUUCCUACAUUUCAGAAAAGUGGGUCCAGUGUCGGAAUCUGCUGUGAAGUGCAUACACACUGAGAUGUCAAGCACUGAAUUAUCACUACCAAGUAAGAAAAUAAAUCAAGUUGGUUUCUUGCUUUUAAGUUCUAUUGGAACUAUAUACUAGGCAUGCAUAAAGGAGGGGCUUUUACCUGGUGAGUCGUGAAAGUUCAUACUUUUACUUAAAACCUCCAAAUCAUUGAGCAAUCCAAACUUCUUUUACAUUAUCUACUUGUUCCCCUAUUUCUCUGCUUUUUGCAUCUGAAUCAUCCCGUUUGCACUUCCUUUCCAAGCUCCUAAUCUUGUGGAUUUCCCAUUUCAUUUUUUCCCUCUUAUCUAAAUCACCAACAAAGUGUAGUUUUUUAAUAUGUUCUUAACAAAUAUCCAUUCAGGAUGAUUGUUCUCCUAUUAAAGGAAAUUGCCGUUUAUUUAUCUAUCUAUUCCUCAAAUUGAUCCAUGUGUUCCAGAGAUGUGCAACAUAAUCUCUAUCUACACAUGUAUGUGUGUGAAUCUCUAUCAAUAUAUAAUCUUGAUUUUGUGAA